CGUUUCCUUGGCUUACUUGACGCGCCCGUUUCUUUUUUAGGGUGGUGUGGAAUAGGAUAGGAGUGGGUGGGGUGAGGAGGGAGAGAGGGGUACGAGGUGGUGGCAGGGUUGGCGCGGUGGCUCGGUUGAGGGGGCGCGGCGGCGUGGUGGAUGGUGGUUGGGGUGACCGGUACCGCGGUGGAAGGGAUCCGGUCACCCGGUGCGUUGGCGCGGUGGGGUGGUGGAGCGCGCUGUGACGUAGUGGAUGGAGGAUGGGUGGAAGAGGCGCUGCUGUGGGGGUAGACGGGCGCGGAGGGGUGUGGAGCGCGAGACGGUGCUGGGUGUAGGUACCACGGCGUGGAAGGAAAGGGGAGGGGCCGCUGGAUGGAGGCAGGCGCGGCUGGAGACGUAGCCUAGGCCACUCUAGGCCACGAAGUACGGGGGUGGCGGUGGCGGAUUCCAGCGAGGCCGCGGCCUAGACCGCGCUGGUUGGAGGUGCGGCGGAUAAGGUAGAGCGGGGCGGAGGUGGAAGAGAUGGAGAGAGAAAGAGGACGGGACUCGGGGGAUGAGGGCCGCUUGUAGGUGAAGGGCAGCCGUAGUGAUCGUCUAUACCCCUCCAGAGUACCGGCUGCGGGGUAGGGACCGUACGUGAUGAACAACACUCCGUCCGUCCGUCGUUAGGUGGCCACUUCACCGCGCGCCAGGUGAAACACAGCCUGGAGGAGCCCAUCCGUUUACCUGACGUACCGCGUACCGGUCGCUACCACGAGUCCACUGGUGUCGUCGUGGCUUCCACUCGGAGGGGAGGAGAGGGAUUAACGGAAGUAGAAGGAGGGAGUGUAGAGGGAAUACGGGCGUCUACGGCGGUACCCGUAGAGUUAGAACAGAAGGUGGCGGCGAUACCUAGGACUACAGCAACACGCAGUCUAGAGGAGGUACCGUAAGUCAACUCUAUCCCGCAGCAGCCGCACGUCAACCGGACCAAGGGGAGCGACACCACGCCACGCAGUGGCAGCAAGAUAACGUGAAACCCUGGAAGAAAAAGAAGUCUAAAACGAACAGACGUCAGGCGGAUACUAGACACGCCACGGCACCUACACGGUCGCCGGCGAGAUACACACCAACCGGUGCGACAGGAAACGUCUAGCGAUCUCCUUCUCUCCUCCAGGAGAUGUACCACACAACGUCAAGGACCACGGUGAGGUCACGUCGAGCCAAACACGUGUUUUCACCUCAAGAAAAAACAACAACAUCAUCAAGGAGCAGUAACAUUAAACACACACAAUCAUGAUACCUAAUUUUUCUCCUAGUGACAUCAAGCAAGCGGGACAGAGCAUCAGGUCUCUACAUGUCUAGCGUCGAGAGAGCUUUUGUAAGUAACUUCUUUUGUUGUUUUUUUAUACAAAUCCACGUCGAGUGAACAAAGUAAUGGCGUCACUAGAAGAGAGAGGGUCACCAAGUGAUACAACGGUUCACGUUUUGGUUUAACCUUUUCAACUAAAAAAAUUACGUCGAGUGAGACAACAACACACGUCACCUUUCUUUUAACCUUUUUCUUUU
rnacentral:rRNA from 1 species